GUCUCAAAGCGGAGGAGAAGCAAACAACACUUCACCAAUGCUGUUGACGGUUUGUUCGCUCACCAGUCUAUCUGUGCUUCAGUCAGCUAAAGUGAUUUUCAGCUCGCUGAACAGACGAGGCUUGGUUUAAUCCAUUCUGGAUGGAUGACAGUCACUUUGAGGAAUAUGCUUCACUGCCUUCGCAUUUAACAACAAUUUUUUAUCUUGUUGUUUGAUCUACAAGUCUAUGUCGGCUAUGUUGCAGCCAUCGGAGAAGCAAU
rnacentral:misc_RNA from 1 species